rnacentral:miRNA from 1 species
UCAUUUAUUCGUCCAUGGCGAUGG